rnacentral:lncRNA from 1 species
AUCCUGAAUGAUAAUCGUGUCUUAAUAAUAAUAAAAGAAAGAAAAUAAGAGACAAGCAUCACGAUUUUCCCAAUUGAAAUGUCUUUUGGUUUUGCCUUUGGUGGCACAGGGUCAAGGGUGUGGGGGCAUUUGUGUGGCAUUCACUAUUCUUUCAACCUGUCCUGAUUAUGGAACCCUUUAAGGUCCGUCCACUUGGAACCACGGUGCUCUGAGAGGACGCUGAACUCACAGCAGCCCACACACAAUUCCAGUGAUACUACUGCAAUGUUUUGUACACAGAAUCUUAGGUUUGUUGGGUAAAUGUAGCAUCAUAUUUUGUUUUAGCAAUUUGUGAACAGUCUUGCUUCUCUUCACACUUAUAAGCUCAUCAGGCUAAGGAUUAAAUCGUAUGCACCCAAAUACCUCUUAGUAUACAAACGUCUGCACUCAGUAGCGUUUCUGGCUGAGCAGGUGGAAGAAGGGCCACGUUCGCCAAUGUCAUGAGGGGCCAGCAUCUUUAACCUUCACGCCCACAUCACCAGCCUUGCCUUCUUCACAACAGAAAUGUUGUCCCACUUCCUUUCCAGGUCUCUCAGAUUCAUGGUACGAGUUGGAAAGAGACCUGAGAGAUUAUUUAGGCUAAACGUUUCAUUUUAUAAAUGACAAAAUUAGGGUUGAGCAAAAUGUGGUGAUUUUGUCUGUGCAAAGCCAAGAAAAAAAAUUAGAGCCUCUUAAAAGUCAUUUUUCCCCUGAAAUAAAGUAUCUUCAUUUCACUGUUAAAUAUAUGUCCUCAUGUAGUUGCUAUAAUCAACCACUUCUCAAGAAAACUCUAAAAGCUGUAUUUCCCAUAUGACACAUUUCAGAAUAUUACAUAAGAAGCUCUCACCAAGACACCAAGGUAAAAUAUAUAUGACAAGCCAAAGACAGGUGCCAUAAAAAAAUAAGAAAUCUUCAAAGGGGAAAGAAAUUCCAAAAGUGGCAACAUGACACCACUCAUUCUCUGCCUACUUUCGAGGUAAGACGAUGUUGAAGUUCUGAGGGGGCUCAGUAAAUAACACCUCUCUUCCCCCUCCAGGUCCUGCACAAAUUGAAAACAUAAAAGGUAGCAGAUGGACUCAAAUGCCACCUUCAUGACUGAGGUGCCAAGCUGGAGGGCAGGAGUUGCCCUCUGGUCCUGGUUUAGGCUGACCUUCUGAACGGGGCCUGAGGGCAGGACCACACGGGCAGGGAUCAGAAAGGAGCUGGAGGAGAGCUCAGAAGGGAGGGCGGGCCCAGCUCUCUUGGCGGCCAAGGAAAAAGCCUGGCAUGUUAGAGCUGGUGCAGGACUCUCCAGGGUGACCGAGCCACCCAGAAGAGGGAAAAGCCAUUCUCCAUAACAAAAAGUCAGGACCGGCUGAAAGCCCCUCCCAGCCCUCCACCCUCCUUCGGCGGGGCUUCUUUCUGAGCUUUGCCCCAUCCCUGCCCCGUGCUGGUGACUGGUGUUUGGCUCCCUCCUAGAGAAAGAGAUGGGCCUGGGUUGGUUGAGAGAGAAAGAGAGAGAAAGGGAGAGACAGAGAGAAGGCUUAGCUCUUGUCCAACAGGGCCACCUAGAGGGACUCUCAGGCUUGAGCGGGAGAAGCAGAGUUUUGAGGCAGAGCUGAUCAAGGGAACCUCAACAAACAACCCCAGCCAUGGAGGCGGCGGUGUCUUUGAAGACCCCAUGAGAGCAUCAAACAAGGGAGAGAGCCUGGAACAAAUCAUGGUAGUAAAAUGGCGGCAGAGAGCUAGUAAUGUGUCUGCAAUUGGUGGGUUCUUGGUCGCACUGACUUCAAGAAUGAAGCCGCGGACCCUCACGGUGGUGUCUUUGGUGGCUGUUCACCCUUCCACAGUAAACAUGCUUGGGAAGCAACUUUGCCAAAAGCCUUCGGACAGUCCAGCGUCAACACCGCAAGCCAAGUGAGUUGCUCUUCUAACAAGUGAUGUCAACUGCGAAUAAGCAAAGAGUUUCAGAGGUUGCCAGAUUGUCACAG